UACAGAGGCCCCGAGCGUUACUGAGAAUCACUGGGUUUAAAGGGCGCGUAGGUGGCGCGUUAAGUCCGUUGUGAAAUCCCUUGGCUCAACCAAGGAAAUGCUUCGGAUACUGGCGUGCUUGAGGCUAGUAGGGGUCACUGGAACUGACGGUGGAGCGGUGAAAUGCGUAGAUAUCGUCAGGAACGCCGAUGGUGAAGACAGGUGACUGGGCUAGUUCUGACACUGAGGCACGAAAGCGUGGGGAGCGAACGGG
rnacentral:rRNA from 1 species